CGAUGAGCUGUCCUACCCAAUUAAGGUGCCACCGGCCACAUGUGCACCCAAGGAAUCAGUGCUUACAAACUAAGUUCACAUUGAUUUCCACUUUUAAGGAACAUGCGCCAAGGAUGACCAAUAUCUACUCUGCUCUUUGUCUUUUGUUCAUCUUCUCAUCCUCUGGCGUUUUGCAAUGGACUCAAUGGACUCAAUGGACUCAAUGGACUCAAAUGACUUCAAAGGACUUCUUCAUGGAAACGGUAUAAAUGGAGCUCCCAGGUGAAAUCCAGAACCCACGUCCRCUGAGUGGUAAGCCAAUGAUGGAGGUCCUGGAAGACUUGACCAUUCUAGCAGACUA
rnacentral:lncRNA from 1 species